GUUCUGUCCCUUCUUCCAUUUUUAUAAGAAAAACAAUCCAUCUUCUCACUCAUUUCAAAUUUUGGGGUCUUUCUUCUUUAACGACAACUCUUUCUUCUCUCCGUCUCUCUCGCUCUCUUGUCUUCUUCAUCUUCACUCUUCCUAUCUCUCAAUUUCCAUUUCUGUAAAAUUAAGCAUUUUAUGUAGCCAAGAAACCCUAUAUUGCGAGAAACCCAUCUCGCCGAUCCACUGCCAUCUACUUCUCCUUGCCCAAACGGCACCGAAAUCAAGGGCAACAAACCCCCUCGGAAACCCAAGUCGUCUUCCAAAGAAAAUGCUCCACCAUUAGAUCCCAGCUCCAUGGUUCUCGAUUCCAAACCCUCGCUUGCUAGGUUGAAGACCGUUCCUGAGAAUUCCAUCUUGGGUUGUUCGAUUCUUGAGUGAAGUCAGUUGGUAUCAGGUUUCUCUCAUCCACAGGAAUAAAGGGAAAUGAAGUAUAACCAAACUUGGAACCUUUGCAAGCAAGCUUCCAUGAAGAACUAGAUUACAAGGAGAGGUUUUCUAUUCCCUUUCUCGUUUUUCCAUCCUUAGAAUCUUGCUUGAAAUGCUUUAAGGACAAAGAAAAUUUUUAAGUGAGGUGGGUGGGGUUGUAGCCUUGCAUGUUCAAUGUCCUUUGAAAAAUUUUCAUUUUUCCAAAAAUCCCUAAAUUUUAAAAUUUUUUCAAAUGCUCUAUUCUUAGAAUAAUUACCAUGUCUACUUUGCUUUCUAGCUUAGAAAAGCAUGUCUGCCCAACCUUUGAGCACAGAGCUCGGGUUUGUGAUUGUAUUUGUUAUUUGAAUAUCUUAAAUAUGUCAAAAAAUUCAUACUUUGAUAGCUUAGAAAUGGGUAGAACACAUGCUGUCCAUUUUCUGAAUAUAGUGAAUUAUGUACAUACUUAAUAAUAUGAGCUGAAAACAUAUGUUGCUGUCUUUUUUAUAUUUAUACCCCUCUUUUGGCCAUACCCACUUGUAUAUGAUUGUUUGGAUGCCAAGUAUGAUUGUUAGUGAAUGCUUGAUUGCUUGUAUAAAAUAAUUAAUGCAUGGAUGCCUUUUCUUAGCUAGUCUUCUUUGUUGCUUAACUAGGACAUGCCUAUGAUUCACUUGGUUGCUAUAUGUAAAAAAAAGUGAGGUUAUCUUUGAGCACACACACAAAAAAAAAAAAAAAAAAACAAAAAGAAUACAAAUGCAAUAUGCAUAAUAGGUCAUGAUAAAAAUAAAAGAGUUAAGUCGGCUAGGUUAGAAUGAGUUGAGUUCCCUCAGUAUCAAAGCUUGUGUAAGGAACUCUUCACUUUUGGCCUAUGCAAAACCAGACUUGUCUAGUUCUUAAAGUUCUUAACCUAGCAUCUUGUUGAUCAAGGGCUUAGAAAAAAGAAGGAAUCCUUCUCGAUCCACAAUAGGGAAAAAAAGUCUAAGGCGUUUUUAACUCUUUCUGAGCAUGUCUAGAGUCAGAGUAGCAAAACUUGAGUGCAUACUAAACAUUGUUUUCAUAGGGCAAUUGUAGUUAAAACUUGUCUCCAACCGAUAGCUAGCUUUCUUUGAAUGAUCAAAUGAAAGUUAGAAUAGCUUUAGAUUGAUUGUUGAGGCAUAGAGUUAAGUUACUUAGUUGACUUGUUAAGAAGGCAUCAAAGUUAUACUUGCAUGAUUGUUUGAGAUUUUACACUUAAGUUUGCUGUGUGCUUCUUACGCAUGCUGCAUGAUUGACUGAUCCUUAUUAGAAUUACUUUGUCGUGACAAGCAAUAAGUGGGGGUGUUUGAUGGGGCAAUAUUUUCAUUUUGCAUAUUGUAAAAGAAAAAAGUUUGCAUAUUCUUGCCUUUUGAAUUCAUAUUUUUCUUAAGUGGUACCAUUAAGGAUAGAAAAUAUAAAAACAUUGAAUGAUCUAUUUUCCUCUUCUUGCUUAUAGUAUAUUAAUGAUCUUUACUCUACUUGCUUUUUGAUGUAUCUCUUCUUCUCUAAAUAACAUAGAAACCUUUGAAGACAUAGGAUUAAUAGAAAUAAGAUUAAGAAGAGAGAGGAAAGAAAGAAACUUAGAAGAAAACACUUUAGGGUCAGACAACCAUCAAGAAGAUCCACCGGCGGUGGGAAAUGCACUUAGUAAAAAACCCAAACUGAGGCUAGGGCAUUAAUUGCUAGAACGGCGAAAAAUACUCAAACCUUUGGGAGUAGGACCGAGAAUUCAAAUUCUUCCUCUAGUGAGGUAAGUGAGCUUAAAAAUCAAAUGAGCUAGCUUAUAAGCAUGGUUAGAGGAGAUAACAAACAAUUGAUGAUUUGUGGGGUAUAUGGAAAAACCAGACACUUUAAUGAUCAAUGCCCACAAGUAAAAGAUGUCGACCUAGCUAAUGGGUUUAGGAGAUAUGAACCACCAAGUUCCAACUUUUACAAUCCUUCACAGAAGGAUCACCCAAACCUUAAGUGGGGAUCUCAAGAACCUAGACAAACAUACCCAUCAAAUCCUUCUUCCUGAACAAACAAUGUAAGAUUUUCGAAAAGAUACCUUAGCUUUUCUCAUCGUAUAUCUCUCUUGUACUUUGAGUUUCUAUUACUAAUAAAGAAGUUUAUCUCCAUUUCAAAAAAAAAAAAAAAAUACCUUAGCUUUUCAACAUGAAACAAGGCUGGAAUUUCUAGUUUAACUAGCCAAAUAUGUCAACUUGCUUCAACGAUGAGUAAACUUGAGUCUAAGGGUAAGCUUCCUUCACGACCCGAUUUUGCAAAUGUAAGUGCCCUUACUUUUCAUACUGAUAAAGUUGUAGAAACUUCUAGUUUAAACUCUACUUUGCAUUAGUCUAGCAACCCCUUUCUUGUUAAAAAGGAUAAGGUAGAUUCACAUUCAGCUUCUUCUUCUUCAAUUUGUACUUCUUCUUGUUCAAAACCUUUGAACAAUGUUGCUAAUGCUCCUUUUCCUUCCAAGUUAAAUCCACCAGGGAAGGACAAAGCCAAAGAUGAAGAACUUCUUCAAAUCUUGAAGGUGAUGGAGAGAAACUUUCCUUUACUUAGUGCGGUGCAACAAAUUUCCAAGUAUGCAAGUUUCUCAAGGAGCUUUAUACAAAGAAGAUAAGAUAUUCAGUCAAAGAAAACAUCAUUGUAAGUCAAAAUGUUUCUGAAUUAAUCAAGAAAGAUAUUCCAAAGAAAAGCUUGGAUCCAGUGUGCAUGAGCUUCGCUACCUAGAAAAAGUUGAUAAAAAGCAUGAGUUAGAAGAUGAAAAUGCAAGCUUGGAGCAAAAUGCAAGAACCAACUUCCUCCAUCAAUAGUCAACCAAAGCUUGGAAGGUCUUCAAGAAUCACAUAAAGAGGAAAGAAACUCUUGGUCAUUGAUUCGGGUUGAAGAGGGAGAAUACGGAAUAAAGGGAAAUGAAGUAUAACCAAACUUGGAACCUUUGCAAGCAAGCUUCCAUGAAGAACUAGAUUACAAGGGAAAGUUUUAUGUUCCCCUUCUCAUUUUUCCAUCCUUAGAAUCUUGCUUAAAAUGCUUUGAGGACAAAGAAAAUUUUUAAGUGGGGGGUGGAUGGGGUUGUAGUCUUGUAUGUUCAAUGUCCUUUGGAAAAUUUUCAUUUUGCAAAAGAUGCCCAAACUUUAACAUUUUUUCAAAUGUUACAUUCUUAGAAUAAAUACCAUGUCUACUUUGCUUUCUAGCUUAGAAAA